AUAAAUUUUUUAUGGUUUUAAAAUUUUAUUUUAAAUUUAUUUUACAUAUAAAUUUUAGUGUUAAUUAUAUAUUAUUUUAAAAAUAAUUUAUAUUUUAAAGUAGUAAUUAAUAUUAAAUAUUUAAGAAAUUAAGAUUUAGUAAUAUUUUUAUUAAUAACAAAUUUUGUGCCAGCAGUUGCGGUUAUACAAAAAUUAAAUUAAAUUUUAUUAGUAAUUAAUUAAUAAUUUUUUUUUAAUAAUAAAAAUUUUAAAUUAUUAGGUGAAAUUUUAAUUUAUUUAAAUUUUAUAUUUAAAUUAUGAUUUAAUAAAUUUUAUAAAAAACUAGGAUUAGAUACCCUAUUAUUAAAAUUUAAAAUUAAAAUACUAAAAUAGUAAAUAAUUAUUUAUUGAAACUUAAAUAAUUUGGCGGUAUUUUAGUUCAUUUAGAGGAAUCUGUUUAAUAAUUGAUAAUCCACGAAUAAAUUUACUUAAUUUAAAAUUUUGUAUAUCGUUGUUAAAAAAAUAUUUUUUUAUAAAAUUAAUAUUUAAUAAUUAUUAUAUAAAUUUAAAUCAGAUCAAGAUGCAGAUUAUAAUUAAGAAUAUAAUGGAUUACAUUAAAAAUAUUUAAAUGAAUAUUAAUUUGUAAAAAUUAAUUGAAAGUGGAUUUAAAUGUAAUUUUAUUUAAUUUAAUAAAAUGAUUAUAAAUUAAAAUAUGUACAUAUUGCCCGUCGCUUUCAUAUGAAGAUAAGUUGAAAUAAGUCGUAACAAAGUAGAGGUACUGGAAAGUGUUUCUAGAAAGAA
rnacentral:ncRNA from 1 species